rnacentral:rRNA from 1 species
AGUGAACGCUGGCGGUAGGCCUAACACAUGCAAGUCGAACGGCAGCACAGUAAGAGCUUGCUCUUACGGGUGGCGAGUGGCGGACGGGUGAGGAAUACAUCGGAAUCUACUUUUUCGUGGGGGAUAACGUAGGGAAACUUACGCUAAUACCGCAUACGACCUACGGGUGAAAGCAGGGGAUCUUCGGACCUUGCGCGAUUGAAUGAGCCGAUGUCGGAUUAGCUAGUUGGCGGGGUAAAGGCCCACCAAGGCGACGAUCCGUAGCUGGUCUGAGAGGAUGAUCAGCCACACUGGAACUGAGACACGGUCCAGACUCCUACGGGAGGCAGCAGUGGGGAAUAUUGACAAUGGGCGCAAGCCUGAUCCAGCCAUACCGCGUGGGUGAAGAAGGCCUUCGGGUUGUAAAGCCCUUUUGUUGGGAAAGAAAAGCAGCAGGUUAAUACCCCGCUGUUCUGACGGUACCCAAAGAAUAAGCACCGGCUAACUUCGUG